rnacentral:sRNA from 1 species
GCACCUGAAAACUUGAAACAGCAAAAACAUAGUGUGA